GGAUUGUGGCUCAGAGGUAGAGCACUUGCCUGGCAAGCGUGGGGCACUGGGUUCGAUCCUCAACACCA
rnacentral:tRNA from 1 species